rnacentral:rRNA from 1 species
CGCGUGCACUGGUUCGGCCGGGCCUUUCCCUCUGGGGAACCGCCAUGCCCUUCACUGGGUGUGUCGGGGAACCAGGACUUUUACUUUGAACAAAUUAUAUCGCUUAAAGAAGGCCUAUGCUCGAAUACAUUAGCAUGGAAUAAUAAAAUAGGACGUGUGGUUCUAUUUUGUUGGUUUCUAGGACCGCCGUAAUGAUUAAUAGGGACAGUCGGGGGCAUCAGUAUUCAAUUGUCAGAGGUGAAAUUCUUGGAUUUAUUGAAGACUAACUACUGCGAAAGCAUUUGCCAAGGAUGUUUUCAUUAAUCAGGAACGAAAGUUAGGGGAUCGAAGACGAUCAGAUACCGUCAUAGUCUUAACCAUAAACUAUGCCGACUAGGGAUCGGACGAUGUUAUAUUUUGACUCGUUCGGCACCUUACACGAAAGUAAAGUUUCUGGGUUCUGGGGGGAGUAUGGUCGCAAGGCUGAAACUUAAAGAAAUUGACGGAAGGGCACCACCAGGGGUGGAGCCUGCGGCUUAAUUUGACUCAACACGGGGAAACUCACCAGGUCCAGACACAAGUAGGAUUGACAGAUUGAGAGCUCUUUCUUGAUUUUGUGGGUGGUGGUGCAUGGCCGUUCUUAGUUGGUGGAGUGAUUUGUCUGCUUAAUUGCGAUAACGAACGAGACCUUAACCUGCUAAAUAGCCCGUAUUGCUUUGGCAGUACGCUGGCUUCUUAGAGGGACUAUCGG